AGUGCGGAGCCAACCGCGGGUGUGAAUGGUCGUGUGCCAGUCCCGUAGAGUGCUCAUCCUUCCCAGUCAGAGGGUUGUGUGUUUCCCCGCUCUCACGAGCGGAUAGCAUCCGAAGCAAAAUUUUGCAUCAGAAGAUAUAAACAGAUAUAUUGCGGUAGACUUUCGGAAGUGUGUGAUCAUGGUGGUUUUCAAAGACGAGCUGAAUGCGUCAGUUUUAUUUGUGGUAUUUCUCGGACACCUAAGCACAAUUAGAUGCUCCAGGGAUUACUCUGAGGUUUUUGACCCAUUGCCUCCCCCCUUUUCAUCCCACUCGAAAAUCAAGGAUGAUGCUUUGACAGACUAUGCCAAGGCAGAGGAACCAGCUAGACAGGCUAUUAGUG